UUUUUUAAUUGGGGUAGCCCCCAAAAUAUUGGGACAUAUAAAAAAAGACAACUCUAUUCCGCAGAGUAGCUGUUGACAUUAUAGUUGCGUGGGAACUUUGUUGAUUCUAGAGAACCUCGGGCCAAUCGCACAUCCCCGUCAUCCAUAUCAACUUUCGAUGCCAGUUUCUGAGCCUACCAUGGUGACCACGGGUAACAGGGAAUCAGGGUUCCAUUCCGUACAGGGACCCUGAGAAAUGGCUACCACAUGCAAGGAAGGCAGCAGGCGUGCAAAUGACCCACUCCCGACGCGGGAAGGUAGUGACGACAAAUAACAAUACAGGACUCUUUAGAGGCCCUGUAAUUGUAAUGAGUCCACUUGAAAUCCUUUAACUCUGAUCAAGUGGAGGGAAGUCUGGUGCAGAGCCACUGACCCGUGCGUGCUGCAGCUGAAACUCCACUA